rnacentral:lncRNA from 1 species
CUCCUGAGUGGGUACUGCUUACUCCACGUGACAGAACAGUGAAAGUUCUGAUUUGUGCUACAACAUGGAUAAACUCUGAGGACUUUAUUAUAAGUGAAAGUAGCAAGACAUAAAAGGACAAGCAUUGUACCAUUCUACUUACAGGGGCCCCACACCAUCGAGACCGGAAGAACACUGGACUGGAGGAGCCAACAUCGAGUCAGGCACCCAAGUGAGAAGAGGCUCCACAUCCGGGCAUCAGCCAGGAGGCCACACUUCUGGAAGCUGUGCUCAGGAAGGCCCCAAGCAGCCGAGCCGCCCUUUGGAGCCAGAUGCAGGAAGGUCCUGUCUAAUCUCUUGGAAAGGAAGAGAAGUGAAGAAUUCUGGACCAGAAGGCGGAGAGGUGAGGACCACCACACAAUCAGCUCUUUAUUUGAAAGAAUCAGCCAGAAGCAUGUGGAGCCCUGCCGCCUUAUGACAUUUCUAGGCAAGCGGAGAC